AUUGAACGCUGGCGGCAGGCUUAACACAUGCAAGUCGAACGCGAAAUCACCUUCGGGUGGUGGAGAGUGGCAGACGGGUGAGUAACGCGUGGGAAUCUACCUGAUGGUACGGAAUAACUCAGGGAAACUUGAGCUAAUACCGUAUGUGCCCGAGAGGGGAAAGAUUUAUCGCCAUCAGAUGAGCCCGCGUCGGAUUAGCUAGUUGGUGGGGUAAAAGCCCACCAAGGCGACGAUCCGUAGCUGGUCUGAGAGGAUGAUCAGCCACACUGGGACUGAGACACGGCCCAGACUCCUACGGGAGGCAGCAGUGGGGAAUAUUGGACAAUGGGCGCAAGCCUGAUCCAGCCAUGCCGCGUGAGUGAUGAAGGCCCUAGGGUUGUAAAGCUCUUUCGACGGGGACGAUAAUGACGGUACCCGUAGAAGAAGCCCCGGCUAACUUCGUGCCAGCAGCCGCGGUAAU
rnacentral:rRNA from 1 species